GUAUGACAAAGUAGAGGUAGUAGAAC
rnacentral:piRNA from 1 species